AAAUGUGGAAGGAAUGAGGGAAACAGGGUGUCGCGGUGAGAGGACCACAGACAUAAGCAUGGCCACCGAGACCCACCGACGGACACACGAAUCAAUAAACAAACUUGAGAGAGUGUCUCGGUGAGAAGACCACAGUCAUAAGCGUUGCCACCGAGACCCACCGACGGACACACAAAUCAAUAAACAAACUUGAGGGGACGACAGGCCUGCGUUGGCUUCGAGUGUCUCCCUUGAGGUUAAAAGCAUCUCUUUCGCCAUAUUUCAGAGCUGGGACUCCAGCUGCCCUCACAGAAGCUCAGCUCUGCCACACCUGCUCUCCUCUGCUUCCUGACCCGCAAGCCCCCGGCACUCCCCAGGCACAGCCGGGUGGCCUUCUCCUUCCUAAAGCAGCAACUUUCGAUGUUUUUCCAAGUGCAGGCAGCUCUUUCCUCGAGAGGAACUCUCGCAGCAGCUGGCAAAGAGAAACCCUUUCUCACUUAGUCCUGGCCCCACACAGGCUGCCCACAAUGAGACCCCAGGAACAGCUGGACUCUCAGCUCCUGGACCAGCCUUCAGCAAGAGCAGGUGCCCACCCCCACCGACUGUGAGCCAUGUCUCACCCUCCCCAGCCUUCCACACCCCUUGCCACCCCAAGGGGUCCUUCAGCCAGCUCCAGUUGUGGUGGGAGAGCUGCAGACUGCUCACGGCCUGCCCGGCCCCUGUGUCGACGGCCCCUCCCUAACCAUCCGGGCAUUCUUUGGAGGCCAGGCCCCUGGUGCUCUCAGGAUUGUUUUAAGACUGCUGUGACAACCUGGAGAUCAUCACCAGCCUCCUGGGGUCCCAUCUGACCCCAGCUGUGAUGCCGUCUGCACGGCACCCUCCAUCAUCCCUAACGCAGACACCCCCAACUGAGCCUACAGACGAGGACACGCCUGACGCCGGCCCCAGGAGAACAUACUGACCUAAAAGAGGAGGCAGAAGUGGACGCUCUCGUCUCCUGCUGUGCAGAAAUGAAGGCAGCCUUUCAGCAGCCCUGCGUGGUAGCGUUCAUUAAACCCCUUAAAAAUACACGUGCCAUCUCCACAUGAUGGGAUUUUACCAGGCAGUAGCAGGGAACGAUGUUCCAACAUGUGCCUCCACGUGGGCAAACCUCAGCACAGUAUGCUCAGGGGAAGGAGCCCCGCACAAAAGGCGGGUGUAGCAGGACUUCCCAAGUGCAAAGCGCUCAGAAUAGGUAAACCCGCAGGUGAGAGCAGAUGAGUGGCCACCAGGGCUUGGGGAGUGGGAGGCAAUGAGUGCCCAGAGGUACCAGGUCUAGAAAAUGUUCUAAAAUUGAUUGUGGUGGUAGAUGUAGAACACUGAAUAUACUAGAAACCACUGAGCUG
rnacentral:lncRNA from 1 species